rnacentral:lncRNA from 1 species
GAUUUUCCAAAUCCCAUUACCCAUGAAGUAAUUCUCAAUAGUUCAAAAUGCGAGCUCAAAAUCACCGGAUUUAAUGGAGGCGCCACCGCUGAUGGAUCGACAUUUGUGGGUACUUUAUUGCCCGGCACACCAAGUCCCUGCGCUAACCCUGCAAUGCAUUUCAAGAAAACGCCAUCAAGAAAGAUGACAGAAAGAGAUGGGAAUGGAAUCGGAAUUGGGAAUUCCGGUCAUUUAGGUGUUUUCGGGAAGAACAGUACAUUUAUACAAAAAACUAGACACCCGUCUGGUAAAGAAUCCGAAGAGUAUUCCGGCGAGGGAGUCACGUGCCAUAAGUGUGGCAAGCAGUUUGGCAAAUUGGAAAAUCUAGAAGCUCAUCAUCUAUCCAAACAUGCUGGUAUAAUCUUGAAUCUCAAUUAUUAAGUGUUAUCAUCAUCGAAAUUUGAUUAUAAUUUUCAGAAUUAUAAUCGGUUUCUCCUAUUUUUAUUGUGGCUGGCUUUAAAUCUUCAUAUAAUUCCUCCAACUUUAAAACAUUCUGUGGAAUACGUUGCA